rnacentral:rRNA from 1 species
GGAGCAAGCGUUAUCCGGAUUUACUGGGUGUAAAGGGAGCGCAGGCGGCCAGGCAAGUCUGAUGUGAAAUACCGGGGCUCAACCCCGGGACUGCUUUGGAAACUGCCUGACUGGAGUGCUGGAGAGGCAAGCGGAAUUCCUAGUGUAGCGGUGAAAUGCGUAGAUAUUAGGAAGAACACCAGUGGCGAAGGCGGCUUGCUGGACAGUAACUGACGUUGAGGCUCGAAAGCGUGGGGAGCAAAC